CAUUUUAUUGUAGUCUUCUGACGAGCCAUGUAGUGAGGUACACCCACUACUUUCUAGGUGUAGAGAGUAGAGAAAUCCGCUCAAUCCUGAGUUUGAUAAUGAGGAAAGAGGCCCGGAGAAAUUAAGAAAUGCAUAUAAGGGCACACACUGUUAAACAGUAGAGCUGGGAUUGCCACCUAGAUGUUGGAUGAUGGAACCCACGCUUAACCACUACCCUGUCCCACCUCCCAGCGAGGGGAAGAGAAACAGCCACAGAGCCUCUGCCUUCUUUUAAAGCACAUGGCUUCACCUUCAGAGUGGAAUGCUGAGCCCUGCCUGGGCUUGCCCUGCGGCGUUUGGGCGAGGAGCUGAGGUCCUUGCAAAGAGUGGUGUGGUUGGUGCAUGGUUGCGUGUGCACUGCCCAGAUGCAGAGUGUGGACUUUGCUCAGAAGCACAGCAUCUGUGAAGCUUUCGGAAAUUAUCCCUCUGGCUCCAGCCCUUUCUAGAGAUCUCCACGCACAUCUCUGCAUGAAGGUUUCAGAGUCACUGGAUUUCCCAGGGCCUUCUCUUUGCUAGGAAUGUCUGAGACGCGCUCUGCAAGAUGAGUUGGCAGCAUCUCUGUGCCUCUGGUUUUGCCAGGCUCCACCAACAUCCCGCUAAGAACUCUUCACCCUCAAGUGCACUGAGGGGAACCCCAGUGAAGGCCAAUGAGGGAAACCACACAUCACUGAGGGCCGACGGAGGCCCCCAAAGCUCAGAUCGCUGUGCUCGCCAGUAGGUCCCCAGACACCCUUAACACAGCUAUCUGCAGGAUUGAAUGAUUGCUGGGACCACACAAUUUACACUUGGCUCUCGUGGUCCGGAGGGGAGGACUGCGCCAGCAUGAGAAGACCAGAGAGCAAGUAAAUGGAAAUUUGGCGAGAUCCUGUGGCUGCUGUUGGUGGCUGCAGCCAGACAGGAAAACUGAGAUGGUGUGAGCAGAAAGGGCUGGAAGGAGUUGGCUUUUUCCAAGAAAUUACAGCGGAAUCUUCUUCCAAGAGGCUGGGGGCCUCUGCAGACAUGAUCUCAUUACUUACCCCCCAAAUCCCCCAGCUUCCCUACGGACCAAGGACCAGGGGUCUCUGCCCAGUCCUAGCUCCAAGGAAACUCACACUUGGCAGAUUUUCCUAAUCGGAGCUGGCCUUGAAGUUUGCUCACUGAUAAUCACCAGAAAGUCACCCCAACAAUGGGUGAUGCCAGAGUGUCCUCAAGCUUCAAGGGUCCGUAAAAACACUUGACUCCCCCAGGACAAAAAUGACUGGGGGAAACAUGCAGUUCUUCAAAGAGAACGGUUUCAUUCUGUACCAAAGGGUGUCUUAAUUUGCCUUGGCAAGAGAGGCAGCACCGUGUUGUGGGUGGACAGCACUCGGGGGGUGGACGGCACUCGGG
rnacentral:lncRNA from 1 species